rnacentral:miRNA from 1 species
UUCUGAACUCCAGUUCCAGGUGAGA